rnacentral:rRNA from 1 species
GACGAACGCUGGCGGCGUGCCUAAUACAUGCAAGUCGAACGCAGGGGGGACGGGUGAGUAACACGUGCGUAACCUCCCAUCUGAGUGGCUAACACUUGGAAACAGGUGCUAAACCGACACUGGUGGAUGUACCCGCGGUGCAUUAGCCAGUGGGUGGGGUAACGGCUAACCAAGGCAACGAUCCAUAGCGGACUUGAGAGGGUGACAGGCCACACUGGGACUGAGACACGGCCCAGACUCCUACGGGAGGCAGCAGUAGGGAAGUGUCGGCAAUGGGCGAAAGCCGGAUCGAGCAACGCCGCGUGAGUGAAGAAGGUUUUCGGGUCGUAAAACUCUGUUGUUAGAGAAGCGGUAUCUGAAGAGAAAGCCACGGCUAACUACGUGCCAGCAGCCGCGGUAAUAC